UUAAAAAUAAGCUAAUAAAG
rnacentral:tRNA from 2 species